UGAAGAUUCGCUUCUGAUUCUGUCUUUUGUUUCAAAAGAGCUGCUUCUUGUUGAGUAUAUUUCAGUUUUAUCUUGGCAGCUUCGGCUUCUGCUUGUUUCAAUGCGAUGAGUUCACUCCUACGGCUAGAAGAUCUCGAACUGUGUGUCUUCACACCACCAUGGACAGAGUUUGGCUUCAUGCUGGACAUGACUUUUUUUAAUAUUGAUUGUUUAUUUUGAAAACGGACGUACAUGCCGUGUUGACAUACAAUAAACUUUCUUAAGCCGGUUGAAAUACAGAUGAGACUUUAGUGCGACCAAUUUUGAACGUGGAUUUAGUUCAAUGUCCAGUACCAGUCAUCUCCAUCUGCUACUAGCAAAGUGUAGGUCAAUUUACUUUUCUGUUCUGGAAACAGAUAGCGAACAGAUCAUGUCGAAAAAGAACACUGUAUGUGGUGGUAUUCAGUAUUUAUUCUUAGAUUCAACUCGAUGUAUGUGGUAAAUUGCUGCAAUAAAACAAAAUAAAAGA